AGGUCACUACCUGAGCCGCUGCUGUUUUCCUCCCGGCCAGUCCGCGUCUCUGAACGUCCGAGUGUCUGUGUUCGUCCGUCUUUGCAUCUUUAUCUUCAGGUCACAAUGUUAAUUGCCCUUCCUUGAAGUCUACCUGCCUCUCCCUGUAUCAGGAAGGGUGUCCCCUGCUCUCUCCACCUCUUUCUCCCUCUCGCCUGCCCCGUGCUCCCCUGUCUCUCCGCUUUGUCUCCUUCGACUGCCUGGGAGGCCAUGUCUCCUGCCUGGGAACGCGCAUCCCUGAAGCAGCAUGAGCACGUCUUUCCUCCGUGUAUGGUGAGUUCACGUCUGGCAGGGUGGUGCCGUCUGCUUUCUUCCCAGGAACGUGUGUAUAGUCCUGAAGCAUCUCUAUGUUCAAAAAAUGUGCUACUUUGAUGGUGUUAUUCUGAGGGGCUAAGCCCUAAACGGUCCAGGAGCCUUCAGCCUACUCCAAGCUGCCGAGUAGGAUGUAGGAAGCCCUGGGGAAAACCAGGACUCCUCAGAGUUCAGAAACCACAUAUGCAAAGGCCGAGUCUCUGCUCCUAAGCAGCCCUCGGUCUGACUGAAGAGAGGAAGGACGAGCAAGCAGUGACAGCAGUGUGAUGCGUAUUAAGCUGAGACCAACACAGAGUGGGAUGCAAGCAUGGAAGGGAGAGCAUGCCUGGGGACCAAGAGAAGGCUUAUUGGAUAAGGUGAUGUUUGAGUCGACUUGUGUAAACAGGCACUCUGCUCCGUGGUGGAGAGGAGGAAGGAGGAAAGACAUGCCAACAGCGGGGAUGGCAUAUGCAAACAUGAAAGCACAGGCACACUCUGUUCAGGGAAGAACAAACGGCGGGCUUGACAUGAAGUGUGGUAAAGACAUGCCAGAGAAGAAAAGGGAAAAAGAACUGGCAACUAUGUAAGGUGAUGGCUGUUAGCUUGACUGUGGUGAUCAUUUCAUAAUGUAUGUGUAUACUGAAACAUCAAGUUGUACACCUUGAAUAUAUAUAAUUUGUCAAUUGCCCUCAUUCAGACUGAACAAAAUCCUUUAAGGAGCCCCAACUCUGGAAGUACAGAGCCCAAACUCCGUAGCACGUAUAGCCUCCUUUGUGAUCUGCCUGCCUGCCUGGCUUCCCACUUCCCCCAGCUGUCUAGAAGCUCAUAGUUCUUGAAAUUUCUCCUAUGGGUAUGUUCUUAGCUUGGGUGCAUACAUCAGAGGAAAAUACACAUGCCUCUGUAUCAUAUUCAAUUAAUUAUCUCCAAAACAUCUGGGAAAUAAUGUCUAAGAAUGACCACAUCUUUCCACCCAAUGGUUACUGCCAGGGUAGGGUGCCAGCUGCUGUAAAGUGACAGCAGGAGCUUAACCUGUCCGGCAGUCAGCAGUUCCUGUUCCUGUUCAUAUGGUGUCCCUUUUUGGAGUGUUUGGUUUUGGGAUGUUUCAGAAGUUCUCCCACCCCAAAAUCUUGGAAGAUAGGGAUGGGGAUGGAGAUGGGGAUGAUCCCUGUUUGCAAAGAGACUAAAACCAGUGAAGUCCAUUCAGUGGAGUUCUGGCUCAAUUGCAGCAGUUCCCAAACCUGGCCAAUCAGCAAAACAUUCAGGGAAGAUUUUUUGUUUGUUUGCUUGCUGUUGUUUGUUAAAGUGUCCCAUGUGAUGGUGAUGAGGCCAGAUUUGGGACCCUUGAUAUAAAAGUGGUAGUUCUUUACUAGAAGUUUUUUUUUUUAAUCAUAAUCACCUAAUGAGUUUUAUGAAUUUGCCCUAAGCCUGUGGAAUUUUCAUGGUGUGGGGGUCAAACAGAACUCCUGGAAAAGGCUCCUUGCUAAUUUGGAUGCCUCAUGAUCAUGGGGACCCUCUGAUCAACAUGAUCGACAGCAGUGGUUUUAAAACAUCUUUUAUCCUACCUUCUUUCAAUAAAAACAUUUCAACAAGUAUCCCCAAAA